GAGCUGUAGCUCACAAAAGCUUAUGCUCAAAUAAAUUUGUUAGUUAGUCUCUAAGGUGCCACAAGUACUCCUUUUCUUUUUGCGAAUUCAGGAUACUGCACCUUAAAAAAAAAAAAAAAAAAAGUGGGAAUUUUUCUCCAGAAUCUAAAAAUUAAAUCUUGGGUUUAAUGAUUUCUUUUUUUAUACAGUUCCCCAGAAUUCAUGUGGGCCCUCCCCAGAUUUGGACUUUCUAGCUGCAGAACUAUUCAGCUAGCUGAAGGUACACGAGUUAAACAAGAAAAUACACCAAACUAUUUUUGACACAGAGCUGUUCUUCAGGUCUGUGAAGGACACUCAGGCCUGGUCUACACUACAGAGUUAGAUCAAUGCAAGAAAGCUUCCACUGACCUAACUCUGUAAGCGUCUACACUAAAAUGUCGCUCCUGCCGAUGUAUUUUGCCCACUAUGCCAAUUUAACUCCACCCCUGCAAGAGGCGUAGCUCUUAGGUUUACAUAGUUAGGGCGACAGUAUCAGUGCACACAGUGUGUUAGUAAAACUUUAGUGGCUUCCAGGUCGUGUCCCACAAUGACCCAUGUGACCGCUCUCGUCACUGUUUUGAACUCCACUGCCCUGUGGCCAGAUAUGCAGGAUUACACAGGAAGUGGUUAUCUCCUGGGUCUGUAAGAAGCAGCAGCUGUGCAGGGACAGCUCUGAUCCAGAUGCAAAAACAUCAAUAUCUAUGAGCAGAUCGUUCAGGACAUAGAGGAGACAGGCUACAACAGGCACAUGCAGCAGUGCUGCAGGAAAGUCAAAGAGCUGCAGCUGCAGGCAUACCAGAAGGCAAGAGAGGCUAACAGUCGCUCUGGUGCACAGCCGCAGACAUGCCAUUUUUACAAGGAGCUGCAUGCCAUCCUCUGAAGUGACAGCCCCCCCGUCCCCGUCCCCCCCAAGGGCCCUGUGUAUACUUUGGAGGACUCAGUCACAGGCCACCAGAGUGAACCCUGAGGAUGUGUUUGAUUCCAGAGCAGUCAAGCCAGUCCCUAGAAUCCAGCACAGGCGAGCCUGAUGAAGGGGAAGGAACCUCUGGUUAAGUAUGUACUUUGCUUUGAUCUUGCAGGGACACAUCUGUUCAUUUACUCUUUUUUUAAUCAGGCAAGAAGAGGCAGCGAAAUAACAGAUAGCAACUCCACCUCUAUCUACUUCUCAUUCCUCCAUACAGUUAUGCAGAAGGGUGCCUUAAGAAUGAUUUGUGUGCACUGAGAUGUCCUGUGAACCCUCCAGAGAGAUUCUGAGGAAACUUUCCUGAAGGUAGUUUGCAAUCCUCUGCUGAAAGUUUCUAGGGAUAGCUGCCUUAUUUCUUCUGCCACGGUCAGAUACUUUUCCGUACCAUUCAGCAAUUCCUUCAGCAGGCACCACUGCAGCACACUGGCAAGCAGCAUAUAUGGAUGUGAUCUGCAGUCAGAUGCAUGCAGGAGUUGUUCCCUUUCAGCCUCCAUUACCCUCAAGAGUGAGGGAUCAGCUAAAAUCACCACUGUCUAUGGAAAACGGUGCCAGUAUUCAGUUCAAUUGCCCUAUCCACAUUUACCCCUUUCUUCCCCGGGCUGUACUCACCAUGGUUAGGACUGCUGCCAUGCUCUAUGAAUCCCAAGCAGAAGUGAUAAUGUAGUGCUUGUAACUUGUAUAGAUCAAAGGUAGUGAAUACAUUCACAAUAGGACCUCUGUGCACUGUAUUUUUUGCAGCUGGAAAUGUAGUCUUGAGGAUCUCUCCAGUCACACCAGCGGAGCAGCUCAGUCAGAUAAGGAGAAGAAGAAAGGGGAUGCAGGACAACAUGGUCCAAGAGAUCCUGCAAGCCUUUGGUGCUGCAGACACUAAGCAGAGGGCUCACAGGAUCAUGCUUAUGGACAGAAUGUACAGGCAUAAAUGUACAUGUGGACAGGAGAAAAGCGCAGGAAAAGGAGAGUGACAUGCAGCAGGAGAUGCUACCGCUUUUCAAGUGGCAAUCAGAUAUGCUGGACAGUCUUGUUGACCUUCAGGUUCAACAGAUCCUUGCUUGCCUCCCUCUGCAGCCCAUAUAGACCUGCAUUACAGAACCUCCCUACACCCCUUGCAUUCCAGGUGGCAUUUGGGGCCCCUGCACUACCCCUACCACUCCACCAUAGGGGAGAGUACAGACAAUCAGGGCCAUAUAUACCAACUGUGUCUCUGUAGGUCUUUGAGAAAUGGAAAUGACUGUUCUUUCCCCUUCAAAGGUUCUUUUCCUGUAUUUAUCAAGUUUCAUUCAGUUAUAAAUAUAUGUUUGUUUACAUGUGUUUGGAAUAAAAGUCUAUUUAUGGAAACUUAAUUCAUCUUUAUUAGUUCACAACAUAUGCUGGCUGGGGCUGACAUCAUUCACAGCUAAUAUCAACAGGUGCAUCUGCUAUGCUAUAUUACUACACACACAACACUCAUUACAAGGUUCAUACUGGGGUGCAAACUCCCCCCCACGUCCCCCAUGCCAGGCACAUCACACAAUAGCAACGCACAUUACUGUGA